rnacentral:lncRNA from 1 species
AGUUGGCCACCUCCGAGUCCCUCCAUCCGUCGAACCACCUACUGAGGAUCACCUGAAAAGUUUAGAAGGGGGAGGUGAGUUUCGAAAACUCAGUAUGUACAACCCUCAAUGAGUAUAAAGCAAUUGUUAGUCAUUUUGGGCCAGAGCCCAAUUCAAUAACAGUGGUCUCUAGGCCUUACCCCAAAUUAGCCUCGGUUGGGCCGAAGCCCACAUCGCAAUAAUAUCAUAACAAUAUCAUACAUGUAAUGCAAUACAGUGCAAUCCCAUCCCAAUAAUUCAUCC